GUUUAGGGAGGCAGGGAGAAGGCUAAGGAAGCGUUGCAGUUUGUGGACUGUGCUGUUUGGCCAUAUCGGUGGGGACCUGGGCCUGUUUCAGUUUCUACUUGUAAAAGAGGACUCUGACACUAAGGAAGGAGGGUGGCAUGGUAGUGUAGCUUCAGAGCUUCGGCUCCUGGCUUGGCCAUCAUGUGUGUGGAGUUUGAAUGUUCUUCCCAUUUCUUUGUGGUGCUUCCCCAGGUGCUGUAUACGUCCAGGUGUUACAAAGUCAAUGUUUUAUAGAGGGAACACAGGCCAAAGUGGUGGGCCUUCAGUCAAGGCUGGAUUGGCCAUUCUGAUUGUGAUGGAUAGAACUUCCUCCAUUGGGAGGCCAGGGCUGGACCU